GAUGAAGAACGUAGCGAAAUGCGAUAAGUAGUGUGAAUUGCAGAAUUCAGUGAAUCAUCGAAUCUUUGAACGCACAUUGCGCCCUUUGGUAUUCCAAAGGGCAUGCCUGUUCGAGCGUCAUUUGUACCCUCAAGCUUUGCUUGGUGUUGGGCGUCUUGUCUCUAGCUUUGCUGGAGACUCGCCUUAAAGUAAUUGGCAGCCGGCCUACUGGUUUCGGAGCGCAGCACAAGUCGCACUCUCUAUCAGCAAAGGUCUAGCAUCCAUUAAGCCUUUUUUUUCAACUUUUGACCUCGGAUCAGGUAUGGAUACCCGCUGAACUUAAGCAUAUCAAUAAGCGGAGGA
rnacentral:misc_RNA from 1 species